rnacentral:rRNA from 1 species
UACGAGGGGUGCAAGCGUUAUUCGGAUUUAUUGGGCGUAAAGGGUGUGUAGGCGGUUUUUUAAGUCAUUUAUUAAAUGCCCUGGCUUAACCAGGGAAGUGUGAGUGAAACUAGAAGACUAGAGUGUGGAAGAGAGAAGUGGAAUUCUCGGAGUAGCGGUAAAAUGCGUAGAUCUCGAGAGGAACACCGAUGGCGAAGGCAGCUUCUUGGUCCAUUACUGACGCUGAAACACGAAAGCGUGGGGAGCAAACAGG